UACGUAGGAUCCAAGCGUUGUCCGGAUUUACUGGGUGUAAAGGGUGCGCAGGCGGACUGGUAAGUCAGGAGUGAAAUCUCGGCGCUUAACGCCGAAACGUCUUUUGAUACUGUCAGUCUUGAAUUAGCGAGAGAUUCGUGGAAUUCCGAGUGUAGCAGUGAAAUGUGUAGAUAUUCGGAAGAACACCAACGGCGAAAGCACUCUGCUGGGCCGACACUGACACUGAGAGACGAAAGCUAGGGGAGCGAAUGGG
rnacentral:rRNA from 1 species